GACGAACGCUGGCGGCGUGCUUAACACAUGCAAGUCGAACGAAGUGGCGAACGGGUGAGUAACGCGUAAUCAACCUGCCCUUCAGAGGGGGACAACAGUUGGAAACGACUGCUAAUACCGCAUCCUGCAGGAGGGGAUUGCGUCUGCUUAGCUAGUGGGAGGGGUAACGGCCCACCAAGGCGAUGAUCAGUAGCCGGUCUUAGAGGGUGAACUGCCACAUUGGGACUUGGACACGGCCCAGACUCCUACGGGAAGCAGCCGUGGGGAAUCUUCCGAAAUGGACGAAAGUCUUACGGAGCAACGCCGCGUGAGUGAUGACGGGCUUCGGGUUGGAAAGCUCUGUUAAUCGGGACGCGGUACCGGAAUAGAAAGCCACGGCUAACUACGUGCCAGCAGCCGCGGUAAUAC
rnacentral:rRNA from 1 species